AUUGAACGCUGGCGGCAUGCCUUACACACGCAAGUCGAACGGUAACAGGUCUUCGGAUGCUGACGAGUGGCGAACGGGUGAGUAAUACAUCGGAACGUGCCUAGUAGUGGGGGAUAACUACUCGAAAGAGUGGCUAAUACCGCAUGAGAUCUACGGAUGAAAGCAGGGGAUCGCAAGACCUUGUGCUACUAGAGCGGCCGAUGGCAGAUUAGGUAGUUGGUGGGAUAAAAGCUUAACAAGCCGACGAUCUGUAGAUGGUCUGAGAGGACGGUGAGCCACACUGGGACUGAGACACGGCCCAGGCUCCUACGGGAGGCAGCAGUGUGGAAUUUUGGACAAGGGGCGCAAGCCUGAUCCAGCAAUGCCGCGUGCAGGAUGAAGUCCUUCGGGUUGUAAACUGCUUUUGUACGGAACGAAAAGCCCCGGGUUAAGACCCUGGGGUCAUGACGGUACCGUAAGAAUAAGCACCGGCUAACUACGUGCCAGCCGCCGCAGUAA
rnacentral:rRNA from 1 species